rnacentral:rRNA from 1 species
GAUGAACGCUGGCGGCGUGCCUAAUACAUGCAAGUCGAGCGAACAGACGAGGAGCUUGCUCCUCUGACGUUAGCGGCGGACGGGUGAGUAACACGUGGAUAACCUACCUAUAAGACUGGGAUAACUUCGGGAAACCGGAGCUAAUACCGGAUAAUAUAUUGAACCGCAUGGUUCAAUAGUGAAAGACGGUUUUGCUGUCACUUAUAGAUGGAUCCGCGCCGCAUUAGCUAGUUGGUAAGGUAACGGCUUACCAAGGCAACGAUGCGUAGGCGACCUGAGAGGGUGAUCGGCCACACUGGAACUGAGACACGGUCCAGACUCCUACGGGAGGCAGCAGUAGGGAAUCUUCCGCAAUGGGCGAAAGCCUGACGGAGCAACGCCGCGUGAGUGAUGAAGGUCUUCGGAUCGUAAAACUCUGUUAUUAGGGAAGAACAAAUGUGUAAGUAACUAUGCACGUCUUGACGGUACCUAAUCAGAAAGCCACGGCUAACUACGUG